rnacentral:lncRNA from 1 species
GUAAACCAAAAGAUAGAAUUCCUCUACGAGUUGCUCUCUUUUUAGAUCUUUCCCUGCUAAAGAAAGACCAGUGACUACUACUCCUACUGCUAUUGGCUAAAGAUCGACAAUCUAUUCGCCGAUCCGAUAAAUUGUCUUCUUGCUAACAGUUCUUCUUAAAGAAAGGGAUAUCUCAUUCAUUCUAUUCGGGGAUCUUGAGUAAGGUAAACAAAAGGGCUACAGACUGGAAUAGGCUUUCAACCUACGACCGAAGUCAAGGUGGCCGGGGAAGUAUGAGUAGUUUUUUCAAAUGCACCAAGGUCUAAAGCCCUUCCUUGAGUUUUAUGAAGUGGAAAAGCUUAUUCCUUAGAUCAUGAAGUUAUUAAUGCACCACCCAAAGCUCCAUAUAUAUCCAUUAUGUAUGCCAUGGGAAAGGGAAGGUUAUAAUGAUGAGGAUGGGCUACUCAUUAGCGAGCGUAGGGGACCUUCAUACUCUUAUCUGUCACCGAUCC